CGCGGUAAUACGGAGGAUCCAAGCGUUAUCCGGAUUUAUUGGGUUUAAAGGGUGCGCAGGCGGAAGAUUAAGUCGGCGGUGAAAUUUUGCAGCUCAACUGUAAAAGUACCAUCGAUACUGGUUUUCUUGAGUGUGGAUGAAGUAGGCGGAAUUUGUGGUGUAGCGGUGAAAUGCAUAGAUAUCACGAGGAACUCCGAUUGCGCAGGCAGCUGUCUGGACAAGAUCCGACGCUCAUGCACGAAAGCGUGGGGAGCAAAAGG
rnacentral:rRNA from 1 species